UAUAGUUCACGUUACGUAUACUAUAGAUUUUCAGUACUGGCAGUGAAUUUCGGAACGCAGCCUACGUCGUGUCUAAUGUAACCGCAGUUAUAAAAAGUUAACGUAGUGCAAACGAUGGACUCAUAAGUUACAACUGCAUUGAACAGUGCGUGCAUCAAUGAGAAGCGAAUAUACAAUGAGAAAUAAAGCUGUGCUCACGCACGAUACACUCCUCACGCUUCAAUAUCCGAAUUAAAUUCGAUGAGCACACAUUUCAGGUGUGGAGUGCCGCUCGUAUUGAAUUGACGUUACAUCGGAUUAACAGGUGGUGUUGUACGUGUCGUCAUCAUUGUCGCGUGUUGACUUUAAUAAUUGUGCCGCGUUAUACCAUGUUUGCUAGUCUAAAGAAUAAGAUACGUGAGGAAAUCGGCAGUGACGUGUCCACUGUCAUCAAAAACGCUGGCAAUAUACGCGGUAUUAAUUCCAGGCAUAUGUCCCAGGCAGACUCUAUAAAUAGUAUCAGUGGUUCACAAGUAUCGUUAGAUGCAUCGAAAGAAGAAAAUAUAACCUUACCUGUACCAUCUGUUUCACCGAAGAGAGAAAACAGUUUUGAACUCAAACUCAACGAUGGAAUGCAAUUAACUGUAAAAGAUAUUAAAAAAUUCGAAAAUAGAGAAGAUGAAUGGAGAAAACGUUUAGCAAAGAAGGAGGCGGAGGUAUUGAAGAGGAUGGAGAAAAGGGAGGAAGAAUGGAAGGUCAGACUCUUUGAAAAAGAGAAAGAGUGGAAAAAAGUUGUGGAAAAACAAGAGAAGGAAAAACAAAGGUUAGAGGAAGAGAUUAAAAAAAUAGAAGUGGCAAAACAGUCGUUAGAACACGCACUCAAAAAUGCAGAAGAAUACAAAAAGAAGUUGUACAGUUUUCAAGAGGAUGCGGAGCAACUGGAAGGCUUUCAAACGCAAGAAAUGGCAAAAGUUAAACAUCUUUUAUUAACCAAAGAACAGGAAGUAGGAGAAAAAACGCAUCAUUUGAAAAUUGCCACAGCAGAAAUAGAAAAUCUGAAGACAGAAGUUUCCCGUCUUAGACGAUAUGAAGAUGAGUUAAACAAUGUACAAGAUGAGAUGGAAACAAUGCGUCACUCCACGCAGCGAGAGAGAGCACAACUUUCUUGUCAGUUGGCGCAAACAGAGGAAGAGGUGCGUCAUUUGAAGGACAAGGUAUUUGUACUGGAGCAGAGAAUUGCACUCGAAACAAAUGACCAGGUAACGGUCGACGAAAGAAUAGCCGAUCUGAUGCGCGAGAGGACAUUAUUGGAGAGAAAACUCGAAGAAGCACAUCUUCAUCUCUCCGACAUAAAAACUAGUUGGUCGGGCAAGAUCUCCAGCCUCGAAACGCAAGUCGGCAGACUUAGCAGACAGGCUGGUGAGGAGGGACUGGAACGCAGGCGGGUUGAACAGGAGAAAGAGAGGCUCAAACACAAAAUCAAGCAGCUAGAGACUGAGAUAGAGGUGAACAAUGUUGUCUUAGCAACGAAAGACGCAAAGCUUUUACGCAUGACAGAGGACAUCGAUGAAAUGGCCAUGGAACUGAAAGAGCUCCGGGCCAGCGUUGAUGAUGAGGUGGAUGAAUUUAAACGGCAAAUUGAGUCCUCUUCGAACCAGAUUACACAGCUAAAAUUAGAUCUUGAAAUUGUGACGAGUAAAUUCACUGCAGCUACCAACGAGCUAGCAAGUCUUCGAAUGUCCUUGGAGAAAGAACAAUCGAGUAAUUCCUCUUUGUGUUCAGAACUGACGCAUCUUCGACAAACUCUCGAAUUUGAACGAGCAGCAAUGACUGAGUUGCGAGUUAUCCUUGAAAAGGAGAGAGGUGAAAAGGAUACCGUCUUGUUAAGGAACGCCCAAAUGUCGCAAGACAUAGAAAUUGUGAAGCAAGAAAAUCGGCAACGCAAAAACGAGAACAUGGAAUUGCAGAGCAAAAUAGAGAACCUAGAAGAUAUUCUGGUAAAUAAGGUGAAAGAAGCGGAGCAGGUGAUAGUAUCACUGAAAGAAUUUGAGCAAAAAGUUGUAAAAUUAGAUGAAGCGGAACGUACGAAGGAAAAAUUAGAAGGAAAUGAGAGAAUACUCAAGAGCAGCUUGUUAGAUCUAGAGGAACAAUUGAGUGAAAAGAAUAAGACAAUCAAAAUCUUGCAGCAACGAUUAACUGAUAUGAAGAAAACACUUCAACGUGAAUUAAAGAUUCCAUCCUCCUCGUUGGAUAGUGAUGUCGACGUUUCUGCUGCUAUUCUUAAUCCGAGUUCAUCCAAAACUGUCACUGCCAGACAUAACACCAGGGAGGAUGACGUUAAUUUUAAAUACUUGAAGCAUGUUCUUAUAAAAUUUCUCACUAGCAGAGAAUAUGAGUAACAGUCAUUUAAUUAUUGCACUAUUUCGUACGAAGCGCUACGAUUUUGAUUUAAACAUUUUUUCGGGGUCUGAAUCUUUGUAUGUCCUCCGACUGAUUUUGAAAUUUCUACGUUAUCUAAAUCUCUACAUUGCUUUUCAAAAGGAAGACGGACGGUUUGAAGUUUGUGUUACGGCAUCAUUGCGAAGCUAAAUUGAAAAGUAAGUACUUGAACUACCACUGUUGUUUUAUUUGCAUAUAGAAUUAGCGUGACAUGUACGUACCUCCUUUUUUACUUUAAGAAAGUACGAGAAACAUUUGCAAAUGAUACAAAGAUUUUAUGGAAUAUUAUUGAUUUUUUGUUUAUAAUAACAAAAUACAAAGAAAUUAAGUUAAUAAUAAAAAAUAUGUAUUUCUCUUACAGAAAAUUUUAGGCAUUUUAUGAUUUCGAAAAUCAUACACUUGGAAAUAACGAUACGAGAUAUCAAAAAGAGUGUCAAGCAAAUAUCAGAAAAAUUGUCACUUGAUUUGUUCGACAAGAAAGAAAAAGAAAACAUUGAUACGUUAAAAGAUUUCCCGUUGAAAGAACAACACAAAUUGGAUAUUUUAGAACGGAAGUUACAAAAUGACACAAGUUUUCGAGACGAAAUGAUUAAGCAAUUGAUACAUAUUCGCAGUGAUUUAAUGAGAAGCACUUCUGUUCGAAUAAUAAAACUUAUUUUGUCAAAUGAACUAGCUGUAAAAUAUAGUUAGUUUGGAGCCAAAAAGAAACAAAGCUUUUCUUCUUUAAAUUUAUGCAAAGUUGUUAUGACUGUGCUACGAAAAACACAUCCAGAUGUUUCUGAUGACCAGAUCUCAGCUCCAAUCAAGAUCUGGUUAGCCCAUGCUAAAGAACGCCUCGAUAGGCAACGACAACAUGACAAAGCAAAUAACGCAGAAGAAGACACAGAAUGAAUGAAUUUUAUCACUGCAUAAUAAUGAAAUGUACAAUAUUUUAAUGCAAUAAUAGUACAAAAACGAGACUAAAUGCUGCCACAGUAAUCAUCAUUAGCAUAGGUAUGUUUUGAUGCGUACAUUAAUUACAAUAUUAAAUGUAAUUUUUACGCUAUCAAUAACGCUGUGUUACUAAAUUGUUUUGACAGCGCUCAUUUAUAGUUUAUCAAUUGUUGAUCUCCUUCGAGCCAUAUAAGUAUAUAUGAAUUUAUAUGUAAAUCGUAAGCAAAGUUGUACGCUUUUUUUUAAGACGAAUCUAAGCUGUGUUACUAAGUUGUUAGAAAUUCUUUUGACAGCGCUUAAUUUUAGUUUAUCCAAUUGUUAGUCUCCUUCGAGCCAUAUAAGUAUAUAUGAAUUUAUACGUAAAUCGUAAGCAAAGUUGUACGCUUAUUUUUAAGACGGAUUUAAGUUGUGUUACUAAGUUGUUAGAAAUUCUUUUGACAGCGCUCAAUUAUAUAAUAGUUUAUUAAUUAAGUCUCCUUCAAGCCACAAGUAUAUAUAUAAAUUUAUAAAUUGUAAGCAAACUGUGGUGUAAAAUGCUACUAACAUCAUUUAUUGAUGAUAAUUAUUCAGCGGCAUAAUUAUGUUUUCAAUGGUGUAACAUUGCUAAUAAUAAUUUUAUAAUUAAUUCUGUUGGCUCAAGCUGCGUCAAAAUUGAAAUAAAUAUAUAUUAUACAUAAAA